rnacentral:rRNA from 1 species
ACAUAGGGUGCAAGCGUUGUCCGGAAUUAUUGGGCGUAAAGAGCUCGUAGGUCGUUUGUUACGUCGGAUGUGAAAACCUGAGGCUCAACCUCAGGCCUGCAUUCGAUACGGGCAAACUAGAGUUUGGUAGGGGAGACUGGAAUUCCUGGUGUAGCGGUGGAAUGCGCAGAUAUCAGGAGGAACACCAAUGGCGAAGGCAGGUCUCUGGGCCAAUACUGACACUGAGGAGCGAAAGUCUGGGGAGCGAACAGG